rnacentral:rRNA from 1 species
GGCCCGCACAAGCGGUGGAGUAUGUGGUUUAAUUCGACGCAACGCGCAGAACCUUACCCAGUCUUGACAUGCCCUGAAAAACCUAGAGAUAGGUCCUUUUCUUCGGAAACAGGUGCACAGGUGCUGCAUGGCUGUCGUCAGCUCGUGUCGUGAGAUGUUCGGUUAAGUCCGGUAACGAGCGCAACCCCUUCCAUUAGUUGCUAGUGAACUCUAAUGGUACUGCCGGUGUCAAACCGGAGGAAGGUGGGGAUGACGUCAAGUCCUCAUGGCCCUUUUGACUGGGGCUACACACGUACUACAAUGGCACUUACAAAGGGCUGCGAAACCGCGAGGUGGAGCUAAUCCCAAAAAAGGUGCCUCAGUUCGGAUUGGAGUCUGCAACUCGACUCCAUGAAGUUGGAAUCGCUAGUAAUCGCGUAU